rnacentral:rRNA from 1 species
AUACGGAGGAUGCGGGCGUUAUCCGGAUUUAUUGGGUUUAAAGGGUGCGUAGGUGGGAGAUUAAGUCAGCGGUGAAAGUUUGUCGCUCAACGAUAAAAUUGCCGUUGAUACUGGUUUACUUGAGUAUAGUUGAAGUAGGCGGAAUGCGUGGUGUAGCGGUGAAAUGCAUAGAUAUCACGCAGAACUCCGAUUGCGAAGGCAGCUUACUAAGUGAUAACUGACACUGAAGCACGAAAGCGUGGGUAUCAAACAGGAUUAGAUACCCUGGUAGUCCACGCAGUAAACGAUGAUUACUAGCUGUUUGCGAUAUACAGUAAGUGGUACAGCGAAAGCGUUAAGUAAUCCACCUGGGGAGUACGCCGGCAACGGUGAAACUCAAAUGAAUUGGCGGGG